rnacentral:lncRNA from 1 species
GCUGAUCAUUUAUCCUUUGCGUGUUCUUUGUGCCUCUUUUAUAUCUAAAAAUCCCCGCAAAAAAAAUCUUUAUAGCCUAUAUCAUCCUUUGUGUUAACUUUGAUCCUAUCUAGCUACUGGUUGUUGUUUUAUUUCUAUCUUUAGUUGUGCAAGUAUCAUAAUCUGAUCCCUAUUUUUAGUUCUAUAUAUAUAUAUAAAAGUGUGUCAAAAAAGAAAGAAAAGAAAGUGCAAAAAAAAGUGAAGUGAAAAAAAAAAGUUGAGAAUGGUUCAGAGAGAAAGUCUGAAAGAUUAGUUGGUUUAUGUGUACAAGUGCUGAAAGUUUCAUAUCAAGUUCUGCAACC